rnacentral:rRNA from 1 species
AGUGAACGCUGGCGGUAGGCCUAACACAUGCAAGUCGAACGGCAGCACAGUAAGAGCUUGCUCUUACGGGUGGCGAGUGGCGGACGGGUGAGGAAUACAUCGGAAUCUACUUUUUCGUGGGGGAUAACGUAGGGAAACUUACGCUAAUACCGCAUACGACCUACGGGUGAAAGCAGGGGAUCUUCGGACCUUGCGUGAUUGAAUGAGCCGAUGUCGGAUUAGCUAGUUGGCGGGGUAAAGGCCCACCAAGGCGACGAUGCGUAGCUGGUCUGAGAGGAUGAUCAGCCACACUGGAACUGAGACACGGUCCAGACUCCUACGGGAGGCAGCAGUGGGGAAUAUUGGACAAAGGGCGCAAGCCUGAUCCAGCCAUACCGCGUGGGUGAAGAAGGCCUUCGGGUUGUAAAGCCCUUUUGUUGGGAAAGAAAAGCAGCAGGUUAAUACCCCGCUGUUCUGACGGUACCCAAAGAAUAAGCACCGGCUAACUUCGUG